rnacentral:rRNA from 1 species
UACAGAGGGGGCAAGCGUUGUUCGGAAUUACUGGGCGUAAAGGGCGCGUAGGCGGCCCGCUAAGUCGAACGUGAAAUCCCCGGGCUCAACCUGGGAACUGCAUCUGUGACUGCAUCGCUGGAGUGCGGCAGAGGGGGAUGGAAUUCCGCGUGUAGCAGUGAAAUGCGUAGAUAUGCGGAGGAACACCGAUGGCGAAGGCAAUCCCCUGGGCCUGCACUGACGCUCAUGCACGAAAGCGUGGGGAGCAAACAGG